rnacentral:rRNA from 1 species
UACAGGGGGUGCAAACGUUGCUCGGAAUCAUUGGGCGUAAAGCGCACGUAGGCGGUCUGUUAUGUCGGAUGUGAAAGCCCUUGGCUCAACUGAGGAAGUGCAUCCGAAACUGGCAGGCUAGAGUACUAAAGAGGAUCGCGGAAUUCCCGGUGUAGAGGUGAAAUUCGUAGAUAUCGGGAGGAACACCGGUGGCGAAGGCGGCGACCUGGGUAGAUACUGACGCUGAGACGCGAAAGCGUGGGGAGCGAACAGG